rnacentral:tRNA from 1 species
CCUUCGAUAGCUCAGUUGGUAGAGCGGUGGACUGUAGAAAGAUUUGUGUGCAGAGAGAGCUACACAAUAUAAACAUAGAGUAAUCCAUAGGUCACUGGUUCAAAUCCGGUUCGAAGGA